AGAGUUUGAUUUUGGCUCAGGAUGAACGCUGGCGGCGUGCCUAAUACAUGCAAGUCGAACGCACAGCGAAAGGUGCUUGCACCUUUCAAGUGAGUGGCGAACGGGUGAGUAACACGUGGAUAACCUACCUCAAGGUUGGGGAUAACAUUUGGAAACAGAUGCUAAUACCGAAUAAAACUUCGUAUCGCAUGAUACAAGGUUAAAAGGCGCUACGGCGUCACCUAGAGAUGGAUCCGCGGUGCAUUAGUUAGUUGGUGGGGUAAAGGCCUACCAAGACAAUGAUGCAUAGCCGAGUUGAGAGACUGAUCGGCCACAUUGGGACUGAGACACGGCCCAAACUCCUACGGAAGGCUGCAGUAGGGAAUCUUCCACAAUGGGCGAAAGCCUGAUGGAGCAACGCCGCGUGUGUGAUGAAGGCUUUCGGGUCGUAAAGCACUGUUGUAUGGGAAGAACAGCUAGAGUAGGGAAUGACUUUAGUUUGACGGUACCAUACCAGAAAGGGACGGCUAAAUACGUGCCAGCAGCCGCGGUAAUACGUAUGUCCCGAGCGUUAUCCGGAUUUAUUGGGCGUAAAGCGAGCGCAGACGGUUGAUUAAGUCUGAUGUGAAAGCCCGGAGCUCAACUCCGGAAAGGCAUUGGAAACUGGUCAACUUGAGUGCAGUAGAGGUAAGUGGAACUCCAUGUGUAGCGGUGGAAUGCGUAGAUAUAUGGAAGAACACCAGCGGCGAAGGCGGCUUACUGGACUGUAACUGACGUUGAGGCUCGAAAGUGUGGGUAGCAAACAGGAUUAGAUACCCUGGUAGUCCACACCGUAAACGAU
rnacentral:rRNA from 1 species